CAGUCGCCGCGGGAAUACGAAGGGUGCAAGCGUUACUCGGAAUUACUGGGCGUAAAGCGUGCGUAGGUGGUGGUUUAAGUCCGUUGUGAAAGCCCUGGGCUCAACCUGGGAAUUGCAGUGGAUACUGGGUCACUAGAGUGUGGUAGAGGAUAGUGGAAUUUCCGGUGUAGCAGUGAAAUGCGUAGAGAUCGGAAGGAACAUCUGUGGCGAAGGCGACUAUCUGGGCCAACACUGACACUGAGGCACGAAAGCGUGGGGAGCAAACAGGAUUAGAGACCCCCGUAGUCCCUGUCUCUUAUAC
rnacentral:rRNA from 1 species